CCUUGUCGGUGUCUCUUCCCCCUCUUGCUGCUAUGGCAGAUUCUGGACAGUGUGCAGCCUGUGAGGUAAUCUGAAUUCCUUGGCAACCGGCAAGUACCUGAAUUCUUUGAAAACCACAGGAAUCCAGCAGAGAAAAGACCAUUUGUGAACAACAGUGGCCCUAGGAUCUUCAUACCAAUUGCCAUUGCAUGAAAAUACAAUGUGAUCCUGGAUCCCUGCUGGGAAAGUGGAUUUAAGCGUAGAGGUCACGGACUCCGGACUACUGGCAAAGAAUGACUGGCAUCCUGGCAGGACUGAAACCAAGAAGCUUCCUCUUUACCAUCACAUCUUCCCUGGUCCCUCUUCUACCGCACA